GGGUCAAUUGGUGUUUUAACAAUGUUGGGGCAAAUCGACAAGUGUACCGAGUCGCACAAGUAAUAUAAAAUGGUAAGACCAAGUAUCGUAUCCCAGAGGACUCUCGGCGCUGAACAGUUGUGUGAAAAUAGGAUUAAUUAAGACUUAAAAUAAAAGAGAUCAUGGGUUUAAUGCCAACAUGUAUAUAAGAAUUCUUCUUUAUGCAUUAAUGCUAACAUCCCUCACUAAAUCACUUAAACCCAAUCCCUCGGUAAAUAAGACUGUCC
rnacentral:lncRNA from 1 species